rnacentral:rRNA from 1 species
GAUGAACGCUGGCGGCAUGCCUAAGACAUGCAAGUCGAACGAGAUGGCCCAGUGAAGGUUGAGUGCUUGCACAAGACUGAAUCUGGUUUACCAUCUAGUGGCAGACGGGUGAGUAACACGUGGGUGACCUGCCUUUUCGUUGGGGAUAACAGUUGGAAACGAUUGCUAAUACCGAAUAAGAUAUAAGAGUCAAUUUUAUAUUGAAAGGAGCCUUUAAAGCUUCGCGAUUAGAUGGGCCUGCGGCGUAUUAACUAGUUGGUGGGGUAAUGGCCUACCAAGGUAACGAUGCGUAGCCGAACUGAGAGGUUGAUCGGCCACACUGGGACUGAGACACGGCCCAGACUCCUACGGGAGACAGCAGUUAGGAAUAUCGUCAAUGGGGAACCGUGAACGAGCAAUGCCGCGUGAGUGAUGAAGGUCUUAUAGAUUGUAAAACUCUGUUGUA